GAUGAACGCUAGCGGCAGGCUUAACACAUGCAAGUCGAGGGGCAGCGCGGGAUAGCAAUAUCCUGGCGGCGACCGGCGGAAGGGUGCGUAACGCGUGAGCGACAUGCCCGUUGCCCGGGGACAACCGGUGGAAACGCCGACUAAUCCCCGAUGGGAUACGAUGCUGCAUGGCAUUGUAUUGAAAGUUACGGCGGCGACGGAUUGGCUCGCGUCCGAUUAGCUGGUUGGCGGGGUGACGGCCCACCAAGGCUACGAUCGGUAGGGGUUCUGAGAGGAAGGCCCCCCAAAUGGGACUGAGACACGGCCCAUACUCCUACGGGAGGCAGCAGUGAGGAAUAUUGGUCAAUGGGCGGAAGCCUGAACCAGCCAUGCCGCGUGCGGGAAGGAGGCCCUAUGGGCUGUGAACCGCUUUUGCCUGGGGCAAUAAGGGCGUCGCGCACGUCCGAUGAGAGUACUAGGCGAAUAAGCAUCGGCUAACUCCGUGCCAGCAGCCG
rnacentral:rRNA from 1 species